AAAGGUAAGCUACUAAGAGCGAAUGGUGGAUGCCUUGACUGGUAAAGGCGAUGAAGGACGUACUAGACUGCGAUAAGCUACGGGGAGCUGUCAAGAAGCUUUGAUCCGUAGAUUUCCGAAUGGG
rnacentral:rRNA from 1 species